rnacentral:rRNA from 1 species
UACGUAGGGCGCAAGCGUUGUCCGGAAUUAUUGGGCGUAAAGAGCUCGUAGGCGGUCUGUCGCGUCUGCUGUGAAAUCCCGAGGCUCAACCUCGGGCUUGCAGUGGGUACGGGCAGACUAGAGUGCGGUAGGGGAGAAUGGAAUUCCUGGUGUAGCGGUGGAAUGCGCAGAUAUCAGGAGGAACACCGAUGGCGAAGGCAGUUCUCUGGGCCGUAACUGACGCUGAGGAGCGAAAGCGUGGGGAGCGAACAG